CGUGCAGUGAGGGAUAUUGCGCAAUGGGGGAAACCCUGACGCAGCGACGCCGCGUGGGUGAAGAAGGCUUUCGGGUCGUAAAGCCCUUUUUGGCAUGACGAGGAAGGACGGUAGUGCCAGAAUAAGCCUCGGCUAACUACGUGCCAGCAGCCGCGGUAAAACGUAGGAGGCGAGCGUUAUCCGGAGUUACUGGGCGUAAAGGGUGCGUAGGCGGCAGGGCAAGUGAGGCGUGAAAGCCCCUGGCUAAACUAGGGGAGGACAUUUCAGACUGCCCAGCUAGAGUGAAACAGAGGAGCGCGGAAUUCGGGGUGUAGCGGUGAAAUGUGUAGAGAUCCCGAGGAACACCAGUGGUGCAAACGGCGCUCUGGGUUUAGACUGACGCUGAGGCACGAAAGCUUGGGGAGCGAACGGGAUUAGAGACCCCGGUAGUCCAAGCCGUAAACGAUGUCAACUGGGUGUUUGGGACGGGAAACCGGACUGGGUGCCGAAGCCAACGCGGUAAGUUGACCGCCUGGGGAGUACGGUCGCAAGGCUA
rnacentral:rRNA from 1 species